UACAUGUGGGGCAAGCGUUGUCCGGAUUUAUUGGGCGUAAAGAGCGUGUAGGCGGUUUGGUAGGUCCGCUGUGAAAACUCGAGGCUUAACCUCGAGACGCCGGUGGAAACCAUCAGACUAGAGUCCGGAAGAGGAGAGUGGAAUUCCUGGUGUAGCGGUGAAAUGCGCAGAUAUCAGGAAGAACACCCGUGGCUAAGGCGGCUCUCUAGUACGGUACUGACGCUGAGACGCGAAAGCGUGGGGAGCGAACAGG
rnacentral:rRNA from 1 species